CCAUCCGAGGGGCGCUGCAGCAGGCUGCAAAUCUGUUUUGACCCCCAAGCCCGGCAUUCCAGCCUGGCACCGUGGCGGAUUCGAAUCAGGCUUGCGCCUGUCAGGCUCGGAUGGGGCGUUAACCAUACGCAUCAACGGCGCCCAUUCGCA
rnacentral:ncRNA from 1 species